CAAAGAGUAGCUUAAAAUAAAGCAAUCAACUUACAAUUGAGAAAUGUUAUUCACAUUAACCUCUUUGU
rnacentral:tRNA from 1 species